rnacentral:rRNA from 1 species
GUGGGGAAUCUUAGACAAUGGGCGCAAGCCUGAUCUAGCCAUGCCGCGUGAGCGAUGAAGGCCUUAGGGUUGUAAAGCUCUUUCGUGGGGGAAGAUAAUGACUGUACCCCAAGAAGAAGCCCCGGCUAACUCCGUGCCAGCAGCCGCGGUAAUACGGAGGGGGCUAGCGUUGUUCGGAAUUACUGGGCGUAAAGCGCACGUAGGCGGACUGGAAAGUCAGGGGUGAAAUCCCGGGGCUCAACCCCGGAACUGCCUUUGAAACUCCCAGUCUUGAGGUCGAGAGAGGUGGGUGGAAUUCCGAGUGUAGAGGUGAAAUUCGUAGAUAUUCGGAGGAACACCAGUGGCGAAGGCGGCCCACUGGCUCGAUACUGACGCUGAGGUGCGAAAGCGUGGGGAGCAAACAGGAUUAGAUACCCGAGUAGUCC